rnacentral:tRNA from 1 species
AUGUAUAGCAAAGGCCGGGAUAGCUCAGUUGGUAGAGCAGAGG